rnacentral:rRNA from 1 species
GACGAACGCUGGCGGCGUGCUUAACACAUGCAAGUCGAACGGUGAAGCUCCAGCUUGCUGGAGUGGAUCAGUGGCGAACGGGUGAGUAACACGUGAGCAACCUGCCCCUGACUCUGGAAUAAGCGCUGGAAACGGCGUCUAAUACUGGGUACGAGAAGGGUCCGCAUGGGCACUUUCUGGAAAGUUUUUCGGUUGGGGAUGGGCUCGCGGCCUAUCAGCUUGUUGGUGAGGUAAUGGCUCACCAAGGCGACGACGGGUAGCCGGCCUGAGAGGGCGACCGGCCACACUGGGACUGAGACACGGCCCAGACUCCUACGGGAGGCAGCAGUGGGGAAUAUUGCACAAUGGGCGAAAGCCUGAUGCAGCGACGCCGCGUGAGGGAUGACGGCCUUCGGGUUGUAAACCUCUUUCAGCAGGGAAGAAGCGAAAGUGACGGUACCUGCAGAAGAAGCACCGGCUAACUACGUG